rnacentral:rRNA from 1 species
UACGGAGGGUGCGAGCGUUAAUCGGAAUUACUGGGCGUAAAGCGCGCGUAGGCGGUUUGUUAAGUCAGCUGUGAAAGCCCCGGGCUCAACCUGGGAACUGCAGUUGAUACUGGCCGACUGGAGUACGAGAGAGGGAGGUAGAAUUCCAUGUGUAGCGGUGAAAUGCGUAGAUAUAUGGAGGAGUACCGGUGGCGAAGGCGGCCUCCUGGCUCGAUACUGACGCUGAGGUGCGAAAGCGUGGGGAGCAAACAGG